rnacentral:rRNA from 1 species
AUUGAACGCUGGCGGCAUGCUUACACAUGCAAGUCGAACGGUAACAGGCCUUCGGGUGCUGACGAGUGGCGAACGGGUGAGUAAUGCAUCGGAACGUACCCAGAGGUGGGGGAUAACGCAGCGAAAGCUGUGCUAAUACUGCAUGUGAUCUGAGGAUGAAAGCGGGGGACCGAGCAGCAAUGUUUGGCCUCGCGCCUUUGGAGCGGCCGAUGUCGGAUUAGCUAGUUGGUGGGGUAAAGGCCUACCAAGGCGACGAUCCGUAGCUGGUCUGAGAGGACGACCAGCCACACUGGGACUGAGACACGGCCCAGACUCCUACGGGAGGCAGAAGUGGGGAAUUUUGGACAAUGGGCGCAAGCCUGAUCCAGCAAUGCCGCGUGCGGGAAGAAGGCCUUCGGGUUGUAAACCGCUUUUGGCAGGAACGAAUCGGUGUCCGCUAAUACCGGGCGCUAAUGACGGUACCUGCAGAAUAAGCACCGGCUAACUACGUG